CUCACUCCCCACCCGACGUAGGGGCCCAGCAUUCCGACUAAAGCAACAUCCGUCAAGCAAGAAGCAAUCCCAAGUCAUCUCGUAUCCUCAAGAACAAGCAAGCCCAAACAACGCCCACAACAGAGUGCAAGCAUCAUCCAAGCAAGCCCGUCCAAGCACAUCAACUCGACUUCCCGCUCUCACUCCCCAACCGAUGUUGGGGGAAAAUCGACAUUCCGACCAAACCCUUCCACCAAGCAAGAAGCAAUUGAAAGACAUCUCGUAUCCUCGAGAACAAGCAACCCCAAACGACACCCACAACAAAGUGCAAGCAUCAUCCAAGCAAGCCCAUCCAAGCACAUCAACUCGACAUCCCGCUCUCACUCCCCACCCGACGUAGGGGCCCAACAUUCCGACUAAAGCAACAUCCGUCAAGCAAGAAGCAAUCGCAAGUCAUCUCGUAUCCUCAAGAACAAGCAAGCCCAAACAACGCCCACAACAAAGUGCAAGCAUCAUCCAAGCAAGCCUGUCCAAGCACAUCAACUCGACUUCCCGCUCUCACUCCCCACCCGACGUUGGGGGAAAAACCGACAUUCCGACCAGACCCUUCCACCAAGCAAGAAGCAAUCGAAAGACAUCUCGUAUCCUCGAGAACAAGCAACCCCAAACGACACCCACAACAAAGUGCAAGCAUCAUCCAAGCAAGCCCAUCCAAGCACAUCAACUCGACAUCCCGCUCUCACUCCCCACCCGACGUAGGGGCCCAGCAUUCCGACUAAAGCAACAUCCGUCAAGCAAGAAGCAAUCGCAAGUCAUCUCGUAUCGUCAAGAACAAGCAAGCCCAAACAACGUCCACAACAAAGUGCAAGCAUCAUCCAAGCAAGCCCGUCCAAGCACAUCAACUCGAC
rnacentral:lncRNA from 1 species